GCACCCCUCCCCCCCACCCCAUUUCUCUCUCACCGUUUCUUCUUUCUCUCCUCUCCUUCGUAGGUCCAUGAGGGGGUCCGUCGCUGCCCGGGAGCAGCGGCGGAUUCUCUACAAGAAUCCCCACAACGCACUCGAAGAACUCAAAAGAACCAAGAUCUUCGACACUUCGUUUUCCUUUGUCACUAAUAAAUCCUUAAACGCAUGUCGUUGACGGUGUGGUCCUUGAUAGUGAAACUGCUAUAAAUUAGUGUAUAUAUUAUAUAAAACACAUGCAAGAUACUGUAUGUAUAAUAGUAACAAUUUCAAGAAUAUUUUUUAAAACUGCUUGCCCGCUGAUGAAAUUGCAGUCCACACAUCUCUAAUGUAUGAUGAUGAUAAUAAUACAGAAUGAACGACAAUGAAGAUAUCUCUUUUCCAAACAGUGAUCAUUAAAAGGGAGACAGGGGUUGCAGCCUUGUCCCCAGUGGACCCAGAGGGACAAAGGGACCCUGCUGAUCCCUCUCUUUAUCCUGAGGCUGUGGAUGGGGCCUUCACCACAGAGGAGGAUGGGACUGUUAUUUUAACUUUAACACGUUGUGGUCGUAGAAAAAGACCCAAGCCAGUCAACCCAGCAGACUGUGAAUUCCAUUCCACCAUGGAUAACUUCCCAUUUUCCAGAAUCGUGUCACGAAGGACUCGAAAUGGAAUACGGGAGGUCAAAGUGAAGUGGGUGCCAUGCCCUCAAUGCCACCUGAGAUGGGCCGAUUCGUGGGUGACACAAGAUGACCUCAAUUAGAUGUCAAAGACGUUCCUUUAAUGUGUUCGUUAUUUUGUAAUGUUCUGGUUUGUUUUUGCCAUUAAAGUUAUGCUGCUACAGG
rnacentral:lncRNA from 1 species